UGCAGUCGAGCGCCCGCAGGGGAGCGGCAGACGGGUGAGUAACGCGUGGGAAUCUACCUUUUGCUACGGAACAACAGCUGGAAACGACUGCUAAUACCGUAUGUGCCCUUCGGGGGAAAGAUUUAUCGGCAAAGGAUGAGCCCGCGUUGGAUUAGCUAGUUGGUGGGGUAAAGGCUCACCAAGGCGACGAUCCAUAGCUGGUCUGAGAGGAUGAUCAGCCACACUGGGACUGAGACACGGCCCAGACUCCUACGGGAGGCAGCAGUGGGGAAUAUUGGACAAUGGGCGCAAGCCUGAUCCAGCCAUGCCGCGUGAGUGAUGAAGGCCCUAGGGUUGUAAAGCUCUUUCACCGGUGAAGAUAAUGACGGUAACCGGAGAAGAAGCCCCGGCUAACUUCGUGCCAGCAGCCGCGGUAAUACGAAGGGGGCUAGCGUUGUUCGGAUUUACUGGGCGUAAAGCGCACGUAGGCGGAUUUUUAAGUCAGGGGUGAAAUCCCGGGGCUCAACCCCGGAACUGCCUUUGAUACUGGAAGUCUUGAGUAUGAUAGAGGUGAGUGGAAUUCCGAGUGUAGAGGUGAAAUUCGUAGAUAUUCGGAGGAACACCAGUGGCGAAGGCGGCUCACUGGCUCAUUACUGACGCUGAGGUGCGAAAGCGUGGGGGAGCAAACAGGAUUAGAUACCCUGGUAGUCCACGCCGUAAACGA
rnacentral:rRNA from 1 species